GCGCUGGAGGUUGCUCCGUGAGGAAUCACCGAGAACGGAAGUCGACGGUCGCCGUGAAGAAUCGUGGAGCAGAGAUGGCGAGAGUGGAAGGUGACGGACGACGAUUUUGAAGAAAAUGGGGAAGAAGUUGGAUGGUUUUGAAAUGAGGAAGAAAACUUUUAUUUUUUAUUUUGUUUUAUUACAAUUAUUUUAAGUCAAUUUUUCUUUAUUUUUAUUGACUAAUUAGUAAGGGUAACUUUGUCUUUUAAUAGCAUUUUGACCCCUAAAGUCAUACUUUAAAAGUGGUGGCUAUCAAAGUCUCAAACUAUAUGCUUUUGGUUAGUUU
rnacentral:lncRNA from 1 species